rnacentral:rRNA from 1 species
UACGGAGGGUGCGAGCGUUGUCCGGAAUCACUGGGCGUAAAGGGCGCGUAGGCGGCAGGCCAAGCGUGCGGUGAAAGUCCGGGGCUCAACCCCGGAUCUGCCGUGCGGACUGGUUUGCUAGAGCGCUGUAGAGGCGAGUGGAAUUCCGGGUGUAGCGGUGGAAUGCGUAGAGAUCCGGAAGAACACCGGUGGCGAAGGCGGCCUGCUGGGACAAUGCUGACGCUGAGGCGCGACAGCGUGGGGAGCAAACAGG